rnacentral:rRNA from 1 species
UACGAAGGGGGCUAGCGUUGCUCGGAAUCACUGGGCGUAAAGCGCACGUAGGCGGAUUGCUAAGUCAGGGGUGAAAUCCUGGAGCUCAACUCCAGAACUGCCCUUGAUACUGGCGGUCUCGAGUCCGGGAGAGGUGAGUGGAACUGCGAGUGUAGAGGUGAAAUUCGUAGAUAUUUGGGAAGAACACCGAUGGGCGAAGGCAGCCAUCUGGACCGACACUGACGCUGAGGCGCGAAAGCGUGGGGAGCAAACAGGG